rnacentral:rRNA from 1 species
UACGUAGGGAGCAAGCGUUGUUCGGAUUUACUGGGCGUAAAGGGCGCGUAGGCGGCCUGUCAAGUCAACUGUGAAAUCUCCGGGCUUAACUCGGAACGGUCAGUUGAUACUGUCAGGCUAGAGUGCAGAAGGGGCAAUCGGAAUUCUUGGUGUAGCGGUGAAAUGCGUAGAUAUCAAGGGGAACACCUGAGGUGAAGACGGGUUGCUGGGCUGACACUGACGCUGAGGCGCGAAAGCCAGGGGAGCAAACGGG